rnacentral:misc_RNA from 1 species
AACGCACAUUGCGCCCGCUAGUACUCUAGCGGGCAUGCCUGUCCGAGCGUCAUUUCAACCGUCAAGCACUGCUUGGUGUUGGGGCCCCUCCGGCUUGCCGGAGGCCCUGAAAUGAAGUGGCGGGCUCGCUGCAACUCCGAGCGUAGUAGAAUCCUAUCUCGCUAGGGAGGCGCAGCGCGCUCCAGCCGUGAAAACAACCCCCGUCUUCUGACAAAUAAAAAGGUUGACCUCGGAUCAGGUAGGAAUACCCGCUGAACUUAA